CGGCAGGCCUAAACAUGCAAGUCGAACGGUAACAUAGAUUGCUUGCAAUCUGAUGACGAGUGGCGCACGGGUGCGUAACGCGUAUGCAAUCUACCUUUUACAGGAGAAUAGCCCAGAGAAAUUUGGAAUAAUGCUCCAUAAUAUCAUUUAUCAGCAUUGAUUUAUGAUUAAAGCUCCGGCGGUAAAAGAUGAGCAUGCGUUCUAUUAGCUAGUAGGUGAGGUAACGGCUCACCUAGGCAACGAUAGAUAGGGGCCCUGAGAGGGGGAUCCCCCACACUGGUACUGAGACACGGACCAGACUCCUACGGGAGGCAGCAGUGAGGAAUAUUGGACAAUGGAGGAAACUCUGAUCCAGCCAUGCCGCGUGCAGGAUGACUGCCCUAUGGGUUGUAAACUGCUUUUAUAUAGGAAGAAACACUCCCACGUGUGGGGGCUUGACGGUACUAUAUGAAUAAGGAUCGG
rnacentral:rRNA from 1 species